rnacentral:misc_RNA from 1 species
GAUGAAGAACGUAUCGAAAUGCGAUAAGUAGUGUGAAUUGCAGAAUUCAGUGAAUCAUCGAAUCUUUGAACGCACAUUGCGCCCUUUGGUAUUCCAAAGGGCAUGCCUGUUCGAGCGUCAUUUGUACCCUCAAGCUUUGCUUGGUGUUGGGCGUCUUGUCUCUAGCUUUGCUGGAGACUCGCCUUAAAGUAAUUGGCAGCCGGCCUACUGGUUUCGGAGCGCAGCACAAGUCGCACUCUCUAUCAGCAAAGGUCUAGCAUCCAUUAAGCCUUUUUUUCAACUUUUGACCUCGGAUCAGGUAGGGAUACCCGCUGAACUUAAGCAUAUCAAUAAGCGGAGGA